AUGUACACACACAAUACAGUGCACACUCACACCGUGCACACUCACACUCACAGUGCACACACACACAGUGCACUUACAGUGCACUCACACUCAGAGCAUGUACACACACAAUACAGUGCACACUCACACCGUGCACACUCACACUCACACAGUGCAUACUGCACACUCACAGUGCACACACACACAGUGCACUUACAGUGCACUCGCACUCAGAGCAUGUACACACACAAUACAGUGCACACUCACACCGUGCACACUCACACAGUGCAUACUGCACACUCACACAGUGCAAUUACAGUGCACUCGCACUCAGAGCAUGCACACACAUGGUACACACACAAUACACAGUGCACACUCACACUCAGUGUACACUCUGCACAUUCAGUGCAUUUACACAAUGCACAGUGCACUCACACCCACAGUGCAUAUACACACAUGAUACACACUCACACAAUGCACAGUGCAUUUGCACUCACAGUGCAUUCACACACAAUACACACACGGUACACACUGCACACUCAGUGUAUUUGCACAGUGCACUCACACCCACAGUGCAGAUACACACAUGCUACACACACGGUACAUUUACACAGCACACACAGUGCACUCACUCACAGUGCAUACACACGUCACACAGCACACACAGUGCACUCACUCACAGUGCAUACACACGUACACAGCACACACAGUGCACUCACUCACAGUGCAUACACACGUCACACAGCACACACAGUGCACUCACUCACAGUGCAUACACACGUCACACAGCACACACAGUGCACUCACUCACAGUGCAUACACACGUACACAGCACACACAGUGCACUCACUCACAGUGCAUACACACGUACACAGCACACACAGUGCACUCUCACAGUGCAUACACACGUACACAGCACACACAGUGCACUCACUCACAGUGCAUACACACGUACACAGCACACACAGUGCACUCACUCACAGUGCAUACACACGUCACACAGCACACACAGUGCACUCACUCACAGUGCAUACACACGUCACACAGCACACACAGUGCACUCACUCACAGUGCAUACACACGUACACAGUACACACAGUGCACUCACUCACAGUGCAUACACACGUCACACAGCACACACAGUGCACUCACUCACAGUGCAUACACACGUACACAGUACACACAGUGCACUCACUCACAGUGAAUACACACGUCACACAGUACACACAGUGCACUCACUCUCACUGCAUACACACGUCACACAGU
rnacentral:lncRNA from 1 species